GGGGCCGUUUAGGAUUCGACGCCGGUUGCGAAACUCUAGGUGCAUGCCGAGUUGGUAACAGAACUCGUAAAUCCACUGUUGCAACUUUCUAUAGUUGCCAAUGACGAAACCUACGAGGGUCAAGCUCUCGCAGCGUAAGCUGCCUUAGCCAUCCUCCUGGUACCUUCGGGUCCAGCAAUCACUAGGGGAUGCCUGUAAACCUGAAGUGAUUGUCAUAUAGAACAGGAUCGCCGUGCAGUACGUUGUGGACGAAUCGGCUAAAACUUACACAACUCGCCCAAAGCACCCUGCCCUUCGGGUCGCUGAGGGUUAACUUAAUAGAAACGGCUAAGCAUGUAGUACCGACAGCGGAGUACUGGCGGACGGGGGUUCAAAUCCCCCCGGCUCCACCA
rnacentral:tmRNA from 2 species